UCUCUGGUGGCUCAGAUGGUAAAGCAUCUGCCUGCAAUGCAGGAGACCCAGGUUCCAUCCCUAGGUAGGGAA
rnacentral:tRNA from 1 species